UCCACUACUCUCGUCGUUGUUCCAAUAGAGUAAGCGCCCAUCAAUCUAAUAAGAGAUUGAUGGUUGGUGAAUUUGCAUGCCCGCUACUCUCGUCGUUGUUCCAAUAGAGUAAGCGUCCGUCGAUCUAAUGAGAGAUUGAUGGUUGGUGAAUUUGCAUGUCCGCUACUCUCGUCGUUGUUCCAAUAGAGUAAGCGCCCGUCGAUCCAAUAAGAGAUUGAUGGUUGGUGAAUUUGCAUGUCCGCUACUCUCGUCGUUGUUCCAAUAGAGUAAGCGCCCGUCGAUCUAAUAAGAGAUUGAUGGUUGUUGAACUGGCAUGUCCGCUACUUUCGCCGUUGUUCCAAUAUAGUAAGCGUUCAUCGAUCUAAAGAGAGAUUGAUGAUUUUUUGAGUUCGCAUGUUCGCUACUCUCGUCGUUGUUCCAAUAGAGUAAGCGCCCGUCCAUCUAAUAAGAGAUUGAUGGUAGAUAAAUUGGCAUGUCCACUACUCUCGCCGUUGUUCCAAUAAAGAAGCAUCAAUCGAUGUACUGAGAGAUUGAGGGUUGAUGAAUUGGCUUGUCCGCUACUCUUGCAGUUGUUCCAAUAGAGUAAGCGCCCAUCGAUUAAAUGAAAGAUUAAUGGUUUUGAAUUGAUAUGCCCGCAACUUUCGUCGUUGUUCCAGUAGAGUAAGUGCUCAUCGAUCUAAUAAUUGGUUUGGCCUCAGAAAAAUUCGUGAUAAACUGUAAUUUUUGGCUGCCGUAUUCGGCAUCCCUACUUUACUUUAUGGUAACCUAAACUCUUAACUUCUAAUUUUAAAUUUGUCUAGUUUUUGUUGGUUCAUAUUGUUCGUGCCCUCCAGUUGGAUCAGCCGCCUUGCUUUUAGCUCCUAUCAUUUCCCACGUGGUAUUUUUCUGUUUUAUUCGUUUUUGAAUAUUUACUUUUCUAUUUUUACUAAUAAAUAUGGUAUAUGUUAAUGUAGCAAUUAAGGAUGUUGUUGAAAAAUUUCAGUAUGUGUUCCAGAAUAAAGGGCAUGGAUUUAAGGUUUCGAGGAUAUCGGGCAAUUGGCCAGGGCCUAUUUUUGGAGAUCCUGGAGUUGCUGCCAGGUAUUUUGUCAGAGUUGCUACCAGAAGUUGGCCUUUGGAAUUGCUUCCAGGAGCUGAUCAACACAUCCUAAAAUAUAAAGCCUCAGCUCUGGCUGAAAUGCUAGUGGAUGAGUCAUAGAAAGAAGUUUGGCAAAUAAUGGCUGACUGCGACCUAGCAGUGCCUUUCCACUGUUCAAGUCUUCAGCUGCAAAGAAAAUUAUGAUAAUGGUCCAAAAGUGUCUAUCUUUACAUUUCCUGAAGAUGAAAAAUCAAAAGCACAAUGAACUCACAGGCUCCUUUGUAGGAUUUCAAGUCAAGCAAAGGCUCAAGAUGCCUUUCCGCUGUUCAAAUCUUCAACUGCAAAGGAAAUUAUGAUAAUGGUCCAAAAGUGUUUAUCUUAAAAUUUCCUGGAGAUGAAAAAUCAAAAAUAGAAUGAACUCACAGACUCAUUCAUGGGAUUUCAAGUCAAUCAAGGGCUCAAUAUGUUAUUCCACUGUUCAAGUCUUCAGCUGCAAAGGAAAUUAUAAUAAUAGUCCAAAAGUGUCUAUCUUUACAUUUCCUGAAGAUGAAAAAUAAAAAAGCACAAUGAACUCACAGGCUCCUUCGUAGGAUUUCAAGUCAAUCAAAGGCUCAAUAUGCCCUUCCACUGUUCAAGUCUUUAGCUGCAAAGGAAAUUAUGAUAAUGGUCCAAAAGUGUCUAUCUUUAAAUUUCUGGAAGUUGAAAAAUCAAAAGCACAAUGAACUCACAGGCUCCUUCGUAGGAUUUCCAAGUCAAAUAAAGGCUCAAAAGUCCGUGAACUGCACUUCAGAGAAGAAGAAGUUAUAAGAAAUAUGGAAUAUUUUCAUGAAGAAAGUGGCUGUGUUCUAUAAUGUAUUUUUAUGCAUUUUAUUGUAAAAUAUAUAUAAUAUAGUUAAUUACCCAGGAUACCAGCAUAGCAGGAUAUCUUUUGAUUUGAAUUUUUCUUCUUGUGAGAGCUUGUAUACUUUUUCGGUAACAAACGUAUAUUAUAGUUUAUGGAAGAAAAUUGAGUAAAGAUUGGGGGUGUGGGAAAAAUUGUGGAAGUGGACGAAUAUGAAUUCGGUAAGCGAAAGUAUAAUAGAGGUCAUAGAGUUGAGGGUCAGUGGGUUUUUGGUGGUUUUCAGAGGAGAUCUGGUCGUACGUUUCUUGUUGUUGUCCACGAUAAAACAGCUGAAAUGUUGGCUGCUUGCAUAUAGGGAUUGCAAUAUCGGACCAAAAGUUCAAUUUUGGUAUUUGGUAUUUUUUUAUAUCUUUUUUAUAAUUGAUUUUUUUAUUUUAUUUAGAGUUAUUCUUAUUCAUUAUUAUGGCUUAUUAUUUAUGAGUAUAAAUAUAUAUAUAAUAAAUCUGAAAAAUAUUUUGAACCGUAAAGUAUGAUAUGCAAAUACAAUGUGAAUAACAAACUCACCAAUUUAAAAAAUAUCGAAAUUGUAUGCACUUUCUUCACAAUUACAACCUUGUUUUCACAGAUAUGAAUAUCAGACUACGAAUCCUGCGGAUGUGCAGUACAAGGAGCUGUAAUAGGAUAGUUUUGACCCGCCUCCUUGGAUGAUUGCGGACACUUCUCUUGGUGGUACUUUGUAUUCAAAGUCUAAUUAAUUUCGCACGUUAAGGAGACAUGAAAACAAAAACGUAUACUAUUUCGCUAUGUUGGCGAUCCUUGAACAUAUAGUGGAGACAAUUUAAAAAAAUUUCUAGUAAAUACCGAAAAAACGGUAUUUAAACUUGUGAAUACCGGUAUUACAAAAUUGUACAAAUGGCACAAAAUACCGGUAUUCGGUAUCCCGAUAUACCGGUAUUGCAAUCCCUACUUGCAUAAAACAGUGGGUUGAAUCGAGUACGGUUAUUUAUAUUGGUUACUGGAAGGCAUAUGAUAAUUUAGGUAAGGAAGGUUACAAGCACUUGAAAGUUAGCCACAUAUUGCAUUUUGUUCAGCCGGAAGAUUUCGUUAAUGGAGUUCCUGUUGUCCACACAAAUCAUGCGGAAUAUUGUCGAAAAGUUCUUGCCAUUAUAUAAUCGUCAAGGUGAUUUCCAACUUUAUUUGGCAAUGUUCUUUUUUAAUAGAUCUUGCAGUAACAAAACAGUCCAUGUUUUUAAUAAAUUCUUAGAAAUUACAGACAUUCCUUGGGAAGAAUAUUCCAUUAAAGUCUUAUAAAUAAGGGCUAUUCUAUAAGGGAGGUUAAUAAGGGCUAUUCUACAAGGGAGGUUAAUUUGCAAAACCAUAGUUAUGAAAAAAACGAAAAAAAUAUAUAUAAUAAUAAAAUGACAAAAAAUUAUUAAUUAAACUGUAUUUUUAUAUGAUUUUCUAAGGAGCAACUCACCUAUACAGCUAUUAACUUUUAUAAAAUAUGCUUUCAAAAAGAAAAAAAUAUGACUGUUUUCAUGUUUCACACCGAACUUUAGUGGUAUACGUAGUCAUCAGAACACAUUCUGCAUAAAAUUGAGAAACUAUUUAAAAAAAUCGGAGCAAAAAAUAAUUCGUCUUCAUCACCUUAUUUAAUAUUAAUUAUAAAAAUAAAUUCUUUCAUUUGGAAAAUAUCUUUAAAAAAUGAAGGGGGCAGUGCCAUCCCCUGAAUUAAAAAAUCUCUUGUUUUUUAAAUCACUUUAUUCGAAUCUUUUUCUAAAAUAUUUAAAGAAAUGAAGGGUAUGAGUUCAGUGGGGGCUACGCCAACUCCUGAGUUAAUAAAUUCUCGUGUAUUUUGUAAAUACUAGGAUUAAGUCUACCAUAGCCUGACAAGCCGGUCAAGACACUAACUACACACUAAAUACGCAUUAUUGGCGAUUUCUUGGCGAAACAAAAAUGGGGCCAAUAGGCAGUAUACGUGAGCUGCUCCACGUAUUGUAUUGUUAUUCCUUAUAUUUAACUCAUUUCGGAAAUUUCUGCUUUCAAUUGUGCAUUUAUUUAGUGUCGUUAUAGGCCAAUUAUUUAAUGCAUGUCAAAUCAUUGAGGUCAGUGAUCCCAGGAUGGCCGAACUUGUAAGAAGUGAUACUGGCUGUAAACUUGUUUCGGGGAUCGUGAUUAAUUGAAAUAUUUAGUUGGGUUCGAUUGUAAGAGAUGUCGUGUCGUGUGACAUCAUGUCGUGUGACAUCAGAGCUCCUGGUAAGCACCCAAAGAAAGAAACAUUCGAGUCCUUUUUCUUCGGUGGCGAUGUUCGAGUGAAGUCGGACGUGGUUUAUGUAGCCCCUUUACGUAGCCUUUUUUUAGGCUUAGCCAUGUUUUGGCGUCUCCAUCUCAAGUGAAC